GAUGAACGCUGGCGGCGUGCCUAACACAUGCAAGUCGAACGGAGCUGCUUUGAUGAAGUUUUCGGAUGGAUUUAAAACAGCUUAGUGGCGGACGGGUGAGUAACGCGUGGGUAACCUGCCUCACACUGGGGGAUAACAGUUAGAAAUAGCUGCUAAUACCGCAUAAGCGCACAGUUCCGCAUGGAACAGUGUGAAAAAACUCCGGUGGUGUGAGAUGGACCCGCGUCUGAUUAGCCAGUUGGCGGGGUAACGGCCCACCAAAGCGACGAUCAGUAGCCGGCCUGAGAGGGUGAACGGCCACAUUGGGACUGAGACACGGGCCCAAACUCCUACGGGAGGCAGCAGUGGGGAAUAUUGCACAAUGGGGGAAACCCUGAUGCAGCGACGCCGCGUGAGUGAAGAGUAUUUCGGUAUGUAAAAGCUCUAUCAGCAGGGAAGAAAGUGACGGUACCUGAAUAAGAA
rnacentral:rRNA from 1 species